GGAGGGUGCAAGCGUUAUCCGGAAUUAUUGGGUUUAAAGGGUGCGUAGGCGGGAUGAUAAGUCAGUGGUGAAAUCUUACAGCUUAACUGUAAAACUGCCACUGAUACUAUCGUUCUUGAAUACAAUUGAAGUGGGCGGAAUGUGUCAUGUAGCGGUGAAAUGCUUAGAUAUGACACAGAACACCUAUUGCGAAGGCAGCUCACUAAGUUGUUAUUGACGCUGAGGCACGAAAGCGUGGGGGGAGCGAACAGGAUUAGAUACCCUGGUAGUCCACGCCCGUAAACGAUGAUUACUCGGUAUUGGCGAUACACUGUCAGUACCCAAGCGAAAGUUUUAAGUAAUCCACCUGGAAGUACGUCGGCAACGAUG
rnacentral:rRNA from 1 species